UGUGCUUUUUUUAAAGAAGAAACAAAUAAAUUGUAAUAAUAUAAUAAAUAGUAAUAUUAUA
rnacentral:sRNA from 1 species